rnacentral:rRNA from 1 species
UACGUAGGGGGCAAGCGUUGUCCGGAUUUAUUGGGCGUAAAGAGCGUGUAGGCGGCCCACUAAGUCCGACGUGAAAUCCCCAGGCUUAACUUGGGAACUGCGUCGGAUACUGGUGGGCUUGAAUCCGGGAGAGGGAUGCGGAAUUCCAGGUGUAGCGGUGAAAUGCGUAGAUAUCUGGAGGAACACCGGUGGCGAAGGCGGCAUCCUGGACCGGCAUUGACGCUGAGUGAGCGAAAGCCAGGGGAGCAAACGGG